rnacentral:rRNA from 1 species
UACAGAGGGUGCAAGCGUUGUUCGGAAUUAUUGGGCGUAAAGCGCGUGUAGGCGGCCAGGUAGGUCAGCUGUGAAAACUCGAGGCUCAACCUCGAGACGUCGGUUGAAACCACCUGGCUAGAGUCCGGAAGGGGAGAGUGGAAUUCCUGGUGUAGCGGUGAAAUGCGCAGAUAUCAGGAAGAACACCAAUUGCGAAGGCAGCUCGCUGGGACGUUACUGACGCUGAGACGCGAAAGCGUGGGGAGCAAACAGG